rnacentral:rRNA from 1 species
AUUGAACGCUGGCGGCGUGCCUAAUACAUGCAAGUCGAACGGAGUGGCGCACGGGUGAGUAAUAUAUAGCUAAUCUGCCCCUUGCUGGAGGACAACAGCUAGAAAUGACUGCUAAUACUCCAUAUCAAGUGAUGAGACUAUAUCGUAUCAGCUAGUCGGUGGGGUAACGGCCUACCGAGGCUAUGACGCGUAACUGGUCUGAGAGGAUGAUCAGUCACAUUGGAACUGAGACACGGUCCGAGAUCCUUCUGGAGGGGGCAGUAGCGUAUAUUGCGAACGGGGGGAGACCGUGACGCGGCAACGCCGCGUGGAGCAUGACAAUUUUCGGAGCGCAAACUCCUUUUGUUCGGGAAGCGGUACCUAACGAAUAAGCACCGGCUAACUCCGUGCCAGCAGCCGCGGUAAUAC